rnacentral:lncRNA from 1 species
GUUUUUUUUUUUAAUCUGGUUAUGCAAAAAUAUAAAUACAACUUGGCAAAGGAACCAACCCGGGCACGUACCUUUACCUUUGCUGACGUGGAAGGCUAAAAAACCCGUUUGACGAUCAAAUCUCUCUAUCCCAGGUAUUAAGGUACACGGUUAUGUAACUUGUAUUUAUCCGAUGAGCAUAUUUCAAGAUGAAAUUGGUUCAUAAGGAUAUGAUAGCCAUGGGUGUUUUAGUGCUUCUGCAGCUGAUGGGCGUUUUGUGGGGUUGAUUUCAAGCAGAUGAGUGACAAAAUCGAUGAACCCUUGAUCACCCAUUGGUAAUCGAUGCCUCAAGGAUGUCUUUUUCGGGAUUAGGUACUCCAAUCUGUUUGUUACCUGGUUACGCUCAUAAAGCAUGUGAUUUUUGGUAA